rnacentral:rRNA from 1 species
GGACCCGCACAAGCGGUGGAUGAUGUGGAUUAAUUCGAUGCAACGCGAAAAACCUUACCUACCCUUGACAUGGUCGGAAGCCUUGAGAGAUCAGGGCGUGCUCGAAAGAGAGCCGACACACAGGUGCUGCAUGGCUGUCGUCAGCUCGUGUCGUGAGAUGUUGGGUUAAGUCCCGCAACGAGCGCAACCCUUGUCAUUAGUUGCUACGAAAGAGCACUCUAAUGAGACUGCCGGUGACAAACCGGAGGAAGGUGGGGAUGACGUCAAGUCCUCAUGGCCCUUAUGGGUAGGGCUUCACACGUCAUACAAUGGUACAUACAGAGGGCCGCCAACCCGCGAGGGGGAGCUAAUCCCAGAAAGUGUAUCGUAGUCCGGAUUGUAGUCUGCAACUCGACUACAUGAAGUUGGAAUCGCUAGUAAUCGCGGAUCAGCAUGUCGCGGUGAAUACGUUCCCGGGUCUUGUACACACCGCCCGUCACACCAUGGGAGCGGGUUUUACCAGAAGUAGGUAGCUUAACCGCAAGGAGGGCGCUUACCACGGUAGGAUUCGUGACUGGGGUG